UACGUAGGGUGCGAGCGUUGUCCGGAAUUAUUGGGCGUAAAGGGUAGGUAGGUGGUCUCAUUUGUCAGGGGUGAAAGCCUUGGGCUUAACUCAAGAAGUGCCCCUGAAACGGUGAGACUAGAGUGCUGGAGAGGGUCGUGGAAUUCCCGGUGUAGCGGUGAAAUGCGUAGAGAUCGGGAGGAACACCAGAGGCGAAGGCGGCGACCUGGACAGCUACUGACACUCAACUACGAAAGCGUGGGGAGCAAACAGG
rnacentral:rRNA from 1 species